rnacentral:tRNA from 1 species
CCUCUCGUGGCAUAGUGGUUAGAGCAAAGGUGCACAAAGCCAAUGGUCCCGGGUUCGAUUCCCGGCGAGCGUG